rnacentral:lncRNA from 1 species
AGGGCCUUCUGCCAAGGGCCCGCUUUGAUCUCCCUUAAAGGACAGCAUUAUCUGACCAGAGGUAAAUUGUAACCACUGAAAGUCCGCUGUUUCGAUUCUGGGCAAGAUGCUAUGGCAGAACAGGGACCAUGAUGAACUACUUAGAAAAAUACAUAAGGCCAUAAAUAAUGUGUGAUUAUUUGAUGAAUGCCUGUCUCUCCCACUGGGACCAUCAGCUUAGAAAAGAAAUGAUGUGGAUGUGCUCACCAAGUUAUUUGCAGAGCUUAGCAGAGUGGGAUAGAAGAGACCCAUGCAGGAGACCUCUCCAGGUACACAUAUUUCCUGCUACUGAAUGGCUUAGACUGGGAUUUGCAAGGAACUACGAAGUCCAAGACCUUUGCCUUUCUUUUAGAAGAAGGCACCAGCUGGUUCUCCAAUGUUGAAGGUCUUCUCCAGAGAUGGGCAUGCAGAAGGAGUGAAAAAACAAGAAGGAAGACAAGGAAGACAUUGUUUUGGCUGCUGACAUUUCCUGAAAGAUCUGAGGCGUCCCCUUCACUUCGGGCAUGGGACCCAGACGGCUGAGUGAUGGACCUUAAGGUGUGGGGAGAUUACAACUUGCUCAAGGUCUCAUAGCUAGAAGAUGUCAGAGUGAUAACUCAAACCAUGUCACAUGACUCUAAGCCCAAAGCAGCCUCUAGAAGGUUGUUUGAUCUUCUGAUGGAAGCACAAAUCACCAUUCCAACAUGAAAGAUGGAGAAACUUAAGUCUAGAGAGAUUUAAAGGACUUGUCAAAGGCAAUGAAACAAGUGGAACUCUGAAAGCCACAUGUUGAGAUGGCCCCAUUACAGGAUGGAGAGCACCUGAACCCCCAAGUUAUGGACUAGAAGAAGACAGUUGCCCUGGAAAAUCAUCUGACCCACAUUGGACUUUAUGUGAGGGGGAAAUAAACCUUUAUUAUGUUAAGCUACACAA